ACCAUAACGCUAGCUCCCUCAACACAAAUACAACAUAAUACAUUAAACCAAAAUAAAUUAAAACAUUCAUAAUCCCAGUAUAGGCGAUAGAAAAGAUAAAAUGAAGCGAUAGAAAAAGUACCGUAAGGAAAAACUGAAAUAGAAAUGAAAUAAAACAUUAAAGUAAAAAAAAGCAGGAAUAAGCACCCGUACCUUUUGCAUUAUGAUCUAGCCAGUCAACAGGAGCAAAAGACAUUUCUAGUCCCACCUCCCGAAACUAGACGAGCUAUUUAAGAGCAAUAACAACCCGUCUCUGUGGCAAAAGAGUGGGAAGACUUUUAAAUAGAGGCGACAUACCAACCGAGCCUAGUGAUAGCUGGUUGCUCAUCAAAUGAGUCUUAGCUCAGCCUUAAAUCUUAUCACAAUAAACAUUAAUAUUGAUUAAAACUUAAGAGUUAUUCCCACGGGGUACAGCCCAUGGGAAAAAGGAUACAACCUAAAUAAUGGGUAAUAAUUACACAUAAAAAAGCUUGCACACCAAGUAGGCCCAAAAGCAGCCAUCUAAAUAAGAAAGCGUCACAGCUCAAUCCACCAUAAUCGCUAAACAAUAUCAAUAUAUAACUUACAACCCAUCAGAACUAAUGAGUCAUCUAUAAACAUAUACCAAGAAUAAUGCUAGAACUAGUAAUAAGAAACAACUUCUCCAUGCCCAAGUGUAAACCAGAUUGAACCUAUCACUGAUAUUUACCACCCAUAAAAACAAUAUAACAUUAAACAAGACUGCCACAAACCAACAUCCGUUAAUCCAACACAGGAGGGCCACAAGAAAGACUUAAAAAUAAGGAAGGAAUUCAGCAAACAACAUACUUCGCCUGUUUACCAAAAACAUCGCCUCUAGCAAAUAAGACAUAUAUUAGAGGUACUGCCUGCCCAGUGAUCAUAUUCAACGGCCGCGGUAUCCUGACCGUGCAAAGGUAGCAUAAUCACUUGUCUUUUAAAUAAAGACUAGUAUGAACGGCAAGACGAAAGUUUAACUGUCUCCCCUAUUUAGUCAAUGAACCUGAUCUCCUCGUACAAAAGCGAGGAUAAAACGACAAGACGAGAAGACCCUGUGAAGCUUAAAACACAAUCAACUUUACCAAAUAGCUAUGACCUAAUGUUUUUGGUUGGGGCGACCGCGGAGAAAAAAAUCCCCCGAGAUGAGGUACUAAGAAGACAAAUCUAAGUACUAGCACAUCUAGCACAUUUGACCCAAUUAACUUUGAGCAACGAACCAAGUUACCCCAGGGAUAACAGCGCAAUCCCCUCCAAGAGUCCAUAUCGACAAGGGGGUUUACGACCUCGAUGUUGGAUCAGAGCACCCAAACAGUGUAGCCGCUGUUAAUGGUUUGUUUGUUCAACAAUUAAAACUCUACGUGAUCUGAGUUCAGACCGGAGCAAUCCAGGUCAGUUUCUAUCUGUCUUAUAGAAUUUUUCCAGUACGAAAGGACCGAAAAAAUAGAGCCAAUAUACUCUACACGCUCUUAACCAAGUUAUGAAACCAACUAAAUACAAAAAUAGAUAAUACCUCAAGACAAGAGGCUG
rnacentral:rRNA from 1 species